UACGGGGGGGGCAAGCGUUGUUCGGAAUUACUGGGCGUAAAGGGCUCGUAGGUGGCCAACUAAGUCAGACGUGAAAUCCCUCGGCUUAACCGGGGAACUGCAUCUGAUACUGGAUGGCUUGAGUUCGGGAGAGGGAUGCGGAAUUCCAGGUGUAGCGGUGAAAUGCGUAGAUAUCUGGAGGAACACCGGUGGCGAAGGCGGCAUCCUGGACCGACACUGACGCUGAGGAGCGAAAGCCAGGGGAGCAAACGGG
rnacentral:rRNA from 1 species